rnacentral:rRNA from 1 species
CGGGGGGAACGCGAAGAACCUUACCUGGUCUUGACAUGCACGGAAUCCUUUAGAGAUAGAGGAGUGCCUUCGGGAACCGUAACACAGGUGCUGCAUGGCUGUCGUCAGCUCGUGUCGUGAGAUGUUGGGUUAAGUCCCGCAACGAGCGCAACCCUUGUCAUUAGUUGCUACAUUUAGUUGGGCACUCUAAUGAGACUGCCGGUGACAAGCCGGAGGAAGGUGGGGAUGACGUCAAGUCCUCAUGGCCCUUAUAGGUGGGGCUACACACGUCAUACAAUGGCUGGUACAAAGGGCUGCCAACCCGCGAGGGGGAGCUAAUCCCACAAAGCCAGUCGUAGUCCGGAUCGUAGUCUGCAACUCGACUACGUGAAAUCGGAAUCGCUAGUAAUCGUGGAUCAGAAUGUCACGGUGAAUACGUUCCCGGGUCUUGUACACACCGA